rnacentral:rRNA from 1 species
CCUACGGGAGGCAGCAGUAGGGAAUCUUCCACAAUGGGCGAAAGCCUGAAGGAGCAACGCCGCGUGGGUGAAGAAGGUCUUCGGAUCGUAAAACCCUGUUGUUAGAGAAGAAAGUGCGUGAGAGUAACUGUUCACGUUUCGACGGUAUCUAACCAGAAAGCCACGGCUAACUACGUGCCAGCAGCUGCGGCAAUACGUAGGUGGCAAGCGUUAUCCGGAUUGAUUGGGCGUAAAGGGAACGCAGGCGGUCUUUUAAGUCUGAUGUGAAAGCCUUCGGCUUAACCGGAGUAGUGCAUUGGAAACUGGGAGACUUGAGUGCAGAAGAGGAGGGUGGAAUGCCAUGUGUAGCGGUGAAAUGCGUAGAUAUAUGGAAGAACACCAGUGGCGAAGGCGGCUCUCUGGUCUGUAACUGACGCUGAGGUUCGAAAGCGUGGGUAGCAAACAGGAUUAGAUACCCUAGUAGUC